AGCAGCCGCGGUAAUUCCAGCUCCAAUAGCGUAUAUUAAAGUUGUUGCAGUUAAAAAGCUCGUAGUUGAAUUUCGGGAUUGGCGCAUCGGUCGUGCCUCACGGGGUAUGAACUGGUGCAGUCAAUUUCUCACCUUCUGGAGAACCGCGAUGUCCUUAAUUGGAUGCCGCGGGGAACCAGGACCUUUACUUUGAAAAAAUUAGAGUGUUUAAAGCAGGCAUUUUUGCUUGAAUACAUUAGCAUGGAAUAAUAAAAUAGGACGGCAUGGUUCUAUUUUGUUGGUUUCUAGGACCACCGUAAUGAUUAAUAGGGAUAGUUGGGGGCAUUAGUAUUCAAUUGUCAGAGGUGAAAUUCUUGGAUUUAUUGAAGACUAACUACUGCGAAAGCAUUUGCCAAGGAUGUUUUCAUUAAUCAAGAACGAAAGUUAGGGGAUCGAAGACGAUCAGAUACCGUCGUAGUCUUAACCAUAAACUAUGCCGACUAGGGAUCGGAUGAUGUUAAUUUUUUAAUGACUCAUUCGGCGCCUUACG
rnacentral:rRNA from 1 species